AUCCAGCUGACGAGUCCUAAAUAUGGCGAAACGGGUGUCCUGGAU
rnacentral:hammerhead_ribozyme from 1 species